UGUGUAAAAGUCAAAAAGAGACAAAUUAUUGUUAAUAAUUUAAAUGGAAAAUACUCCUUAUACAA
rnacentral:tRNA from 1 species